rnacentral:rRNA from 1 species
GACGAACGCUGGCGGCGUGCUUAACACAUGCAAGUCGAACGGUGAAAGCGGAGCUUGCUCCGCUGGAUCAGUGGCGAACGGGUGAGUAACACGUGGGCAACCUGCCCCUCACUUCGGGAUAACUCCGGGAAACCGGGGCUAAUACCGGAUAUGACCUCCUUGGGCAUCCUUGGAGGUGGAAAGUUUUUCGGUGAGGGAUGGGCCCGCGGCCUAUCAGCUUGUUGGUGAGGUAGUGGCUCACCAAGGCGACGACGGGUAGCCGGCCUGAGAGGGCGACCGGCCACACUGGGACUGAGACACGGCCCAGACUCCUACGGGAGGCAGCAGUGGGGAAUAUUGCGCAAUGGGCGAAAGCCUGACGCAGCAAAGCCGCGUGAGGGAUGACGGCCUUCGGGUUGUAAACCUCUUUCAGCACCGACGAAGCGCAAGUGACGGUAGGUGCAGAAGAAGGACCGGCCAACUACGUGCCAGCCGCCGCAGUAA